rnacentral:tRNA from 1 species
GUCUGGCUGGCUCAGUCGGUGGAGCACGUGACUCUUGAUCCCAGGAUUGUGGGUUCAAGCCCCACAUUGGAUG